AUGUUCGCUCUGCCGCAUGGUGGCUCUCAGUUUUGGAAGUCUCUGGUCAAAGUUAGACCUGUUUUUCAAUCUUUUGUUAAGUUUGUUGUUGGGGAUGGUUCCUCUAUUCGGUUUUGGCUUGAUUGGUGGUGUGGAGAUUCACCUCUCUCGGUGACCUUCCCUACCCUUUUCUCUUACUGCUCUGAACCUAAUAUUUUUAUUGCGAAGCUUGCUUCCCAGGGGUGGAACCUGGCCUUCCGUCGUUCUCUGUCGCCUGUAGAGUUUGAAGAUUGGCAACGUCUUACUGCCCUCUUCCCUACGCUCUCGACGGUCAGGGACUCGGUGCUCUGGCCGCUUUCUGCCUCUGGGCGGUUUUCUGUUAAGUCGCUCUAUUCUAAGCUAGUUGGUGGCACACCUACCAGUCCUUUUUCCCAAGUUUGGAAGGCCCGUAUUCCCCCUAAGAUAAAAAUUUUCUUGUGGCAAGCCUUUCGAGGCCGGCUGCCCUCGGCUGAUCAGAUUCAUAAGAGAAACGGGCCGGGCUCCCAGUUUUGUGCUCUUUGUGGUGAGGUGGAAGACUCGGAUCAUAUCUUUUUUCACUGUCACCUGGCUAAGCUUAUUUGGAGUUGUGUGCGGGACUGGCUUCAUGUGUCUUGGGCCCCUGCCUCCUUUGCCGAGUUGUGCAGCCUGGCAUCCAACCUUUCCGGUGUUUCUAGACGGAUCUUUUGGGUGGGCUUGGGGGCUUUAUGUUGGUCUCUGUGGACUACUAGGAACAAAUUUACUAUCGAGCACGUGUUUCCGGCUAAACCGGCUGACUGCUUAUUUAAAUCGUGUGCUUUCCUGCAGCAGUGGAAAUCACUGACUAAGGCCGACGACCAAGAGGCGCUAUCUAUGCUGAUCGACAAAAUCCGGACCACAGCGUCUCAGUUAUGCAGACAAGAGCACGAUGCUUGA
rnacentral:rRNA from 1 species